rnacentral:ncRNA from 2 species
CAGCUGUCCUAGGGGAGCCUGCAUUGGCUGAGAUUCCACCGCCACUUGGCGUUGGUAACCCUUAGAACCUGAUCCGGGUCAUGCCGGCGAAGGGAAGGAUGUAGCCAACCAA